CCUACGGGUGGCAGCAGUGGGGAAUAUUGGACAAUGGGGGGAACCCUGAUCCAGCCAUGCCGCGUGUGUGAAGAAGGCCCUCGGGUUUUAAAGCACUUUCAGUGAGGAAGAACGCCUGGUGGUUAAUACCCAUCAGGAAAGACAUCACUCACAGAAGAAGCACCGGCUAACUCCGUGCCAGCAGCCGCGGUAAUACGGAGGGUGCGAGCGUUAAUCGGAAUUACUGGGCGUAAAGCGCGCGUAGGUGGCUUGAUAAGCCGGUUGUGAAAGCCCCGGGCUCAACCUGGGAACGGCAUCCGGAACUGUCAAGCUAGAGUGCAGGAGAGGAAGGUAGAAUUCCCGGUGUAGCGGUGAAAUGCGUAGAGAUCGGGAGGAAUACCAGUGGCGAAGGCGGCCUUCUGGACUGACACUGACACUGAGGUGCGAAAGCGUGGGUAGCAAACAGGAUUAGAUACCCUUGUAGUC
rnacentral:rRNA from 1 species